rnacentral:rRNA from 1 species
UACGUAGCAGCGAGCGUUGUUCGGAGUUACUGGGCGUAAAGAGUGCGUAGGCGGUUUUCUAAGUUUGGUGUGAAAUCUCCCGGCUCAACUGGGAGGGUGCGCCGAAGACUGGAAGGCUUGAGUAUGGGAGAGGUAAGCGGAAUUCCUGGUGUAGCGGUGAAAUGCGUAGAGAUGCGGAGGAACACCGAUGGCGAAGGCAGCCCCCUGGGCUAACACUGACGCUCAGGCACGAAAGCGUGGGGAGCAAACAGG